CCUUGCGCUAAUAGAUGAGCCUAAGUCAGAUUAGCUAGUUGGUGGGGUAAAGGCCUACCAAGGCGACGAUCUGUAGCGGGUCUGAGAGGAUGAUCCGCCACACUGGGACUGAGACACGGCCCAGACUCCUACGGGAGGCAGCAGUGGGGAAUAUUGGACAAUGGGCGAAAGCCUGAUCCAGCCAUGCCGCGUGUGUGAAGAAGGCCUUUUGGUUGUAAAGCACUUUAAGCGAGGAGGAGGCUACCGAGAUUAAUACUCUAGGAUAGUGGACGUUACUCGCAGAAUAAGCACCGGCUAACUCUGUGCCAGCAGCCGCGGUAAUACAGAGGGUGCGAGCGUUAAUCGGAUUUACUGGGCGUAAAGCGUGCGUAGGCGGCUUCUUAAGUCGGAUGUGAAAUCCCUGAGCUUAACUUAGGAAUUGCAUUCGAUACUGGGAAGCUAGAGUAUGGGAGAGGAUGGUAGAAUUCCAGGUGUAGCGGUGAAAUGCGUAGAGAUCUGGAGGAAUACCGAUGGCGAAGGCAGCCAUCUGGCCUAAUACUGACGCUGAGGUACGAAAGCAU
rnacentral:rRNA from 1 species